rnacentral:lncRNA from 1 species
GUGAUCAUCUCAUGCCAAAUCCCUAUUAUCUCCACUACCCUGAGCUUUAGCAUUUUGAAUUGCCUAGAAAUAAAGCUUGACAAAGUAUCCAACCCUCCAAGCAAGCAAGAUGAGGUAACUAAGGCACAUGAAGGUCAAGCCCAAGUCACGCAACUGAUGAGUGACAAAACCAGGAUCUGAACCUGGCAGUCUGGCCCCAGAGCCCUCUCUGCCUGCUACCACCUGUCCAUCUGUGGUCAUGGAGCUGAGUCUAGUGAGAUUCCCACCAAGAACAACAACCUUUCCCUUGCCAAUAUCCUCAACUCUUUUGCAUAUAACAUCCUGAUUAGGCAACAUCAGCACGGAAGAAGCCCAGUGUCCACCUUCUUCCUGCCAACGCCUGCGCUGCUGAA